rnacentral:rRNA from 1 species
UACGGAGGGGGCUAGCGUUGUUCGGAAUUACUGGGCGUAAAGGGCGCGCAGGCGGCGCAUUUUGUCAGGCGUGAAAGCCCCGGGCUUAACCUGGGAACUGCGUUUGAUACGGAUGGGCUAGAGUUCGGGAGAGGAGAGUGGAAUUCCCAGUGUAGAGGUGAAAUUCGUAGAUAUUGGGAAGAACACCAGUGGCGGAGGCGGCUAACUGGUCCGGUACUGACGCUGAGGUGCGAAAGCGUGGGGAGCAAACA